rnacentral:hammerhead_ribozyme from 1 species
ACCCAGCUGACGAGUCCUAAAUAGGACGGAAUACGCCUUGUCCUGGAU